CAGUCGCCGCGGGAAUACGAAGGGGGCUAGCGUUACUCGGAAUUACUGGGCGUAAAGGGCGCGUAGGCGGCACGAUUAGUCAGGCGUGAAAUUCCUGGGCUCAACCUGGGGACUGCGCUUGAUACGGUCGAGCUAGAGGAUGGAAGAGGGUUGUGGAAUUCCCAGUGUAGAGGUGAAAUUCGUAGAUAUUGGGAAGAACACCGGUGGCGAAGGCGGCAACCUGGUCCAUUACUGACGCUGAGGCGCGACAGCGUGGGGAGCAAACAGGAUUAGAUACCCCGGUAGUCCCUGUCUCUUAUAA
rnacentral:rRNA from 1 species